CCAAUAGCGUAUAUUAAGGUUGUUGCGGUUAAAAAGCUCGUAGUUGAAUUUCGGGAUUGAUGCAUCGGUCGUGCCUUAAGGGGUAUGAGCUGGUGUAGUCAAUUUCUUACCUUCUGGUUAAUUGUGAUGUCCUCCUUAAUUGGGUGUUUCAAUGAACUAGGACUUUUUACUUUGAAAAAAUUAGAGUGUUUAAAGCAGGCAAUAGUUGCUUGAAUACAUUAGCAUGGAAUAAUAAAAUAGUACAAUGAUUCUAUUUUGUUGGUUUCUAGAACCACUGUAACGAUUAAUAGGGAUAGUGGGGGCAUUAGUAUUCAAUUGUCAGAGGUGAAAUUCUUGGAUUAAUUGAAGACUAACUACUGCGAAAGCAUUUGCCAAGGAUAUUUUCAUUAAUCAAGAACGAAAGUUAGGGGAUCGAAGACGAUUAGGCACGUCGUAGUCUUAACCAUAAACUAUGCCGACUAGGAAUCAGACAACGUUAAAUUUUUAAUGACUUGUUUGGCACCUUACG
rnacentral:rRNA from 1 species